AGUCUAGUGCUAAAUACAUCGAGGCCAGGACACGCGACCCGAGAAAGCGUCGAUUCAAUCAAACAAAAACCAAGUGCCAAGUGCCGUGUGAAGAGGCCACAAACAACUAACUAACUAACUGCCUCCAGAAACUGUGCGAUUCUAACCAAAGCCAAAAAUAAAUAUAAAAAAGUUACCAGUGCAUCAGUGCCCGGGAAAAAGACUUAAAGCAAACAGCAGGCGAAGUGAAUAAACCAUAAACAAAACCCCCGAAAAUAAACCGAAAGCAGGGAAAAAACGAAAUUUAAACGUCUGUGCAUAUUAAUCAGAACGAGAAACGUGAACAGGAUCACGUCCUAGACAACUUAUCACAGAGGAUUUACGCAGACAGACAAACGCAGGACGCGAAUGCGAGUGUAGAGCAAAAGGCAGCGCUAAUCAACGACCAAACCAGACGACAUCCUUACCGACUGGCCACGCCCACAACUCCCCCUCGAAUAGGAGAAAAAAAAAACCACCAGAAGCCUGGGAGGAGAAGAGCAGAAGCCGCCUCAUUUGGCCACUGCGGAUUAUGUUAAUUAGAUUUUAAGCACGCGAUAACAAAAACGCCGAGGGAGCACUUGGCAUUGUAAUGUGACAACAGUUGGCUAAGGACAACAAAACAAUACCAAAAGCGGGCCAUCAGGAGUAGCUGGAAUGCUCGCUUUUUAAUUGACAUUUGCUCGAGUUGAGUUGCGUUUUGUUCAACAGCAAUUAGCAUCGUGAAAAAAAAUAAAUGAAAACACAAAAAAAAACGCAGAGCAAAACACAAAGCAGUGCAAUUAAAAUUGUAAAACAAUUGCAGAACGUUGAAUUGAAAAGGGGGAAACAAUAACAGACGACGUCGACCCGGAAUAGAACGAUCAAGUUGAUUUAAUUAAAAAUUCAGCAUCAACCUCGCCAGCAUCAACCAGCGUCCAGCAGCCAACAUCCAGCAUCAGCAGCCGUGUGCAAUGGCAUUUGAGCACGCUGCUUGAGCAAUGGCCGCCGGACCGGAAACGCAGCCAUUGCCCUCGGGCAACAUCCGCCUCUGACUGCCGCCGACACUUGUCACAUGUUUGGCCAAAAAGGCGCGCACGUGACGCCCCCGGAAAACCAGAUGAACGAACGGAUGAACGAGGAAAUGAAUGAGCUAGCAGCCAUAUUCAAAAUUGAACGUUAAACGUUCGCACGUACCGAGCAUAAAUUCCAAGUGAAAUAAAAGAGCC
rnacentral:lncRNA from 1 species